GCCAGUGUGGUGUAGUGGUUUGAAUGUUGGAUUACAACUCUGGAGACCAGGUUUCAAAUCCCAGCUCUGCCA